rnacentral:rRNA from 1 species
GAACGCGAAGAACCUUACCCGGGCUUGAAUUGCAGAGGAAGGAUUUAGAGAUAAUGACGCCCUUCGGGGUCUCUGUGAAGGUGCUGCAUGGUUGUCGUCAGCUCGUGCCGUGAGGUGUCGGCUUAAGUGCCAUAACGAGCGCAACCCCUCUCUUCAGUUGCCAUCAGGUUAAGCUGGGCACUCUGGAGACACUGCCACCGUAAGGUGUGAGGAAGGUGGGGAUGACGUCAAAUCAGCACGGCCCUUACGUCCGGGGCUACACACGUGUUACAAUGGCCGGUACAGAGGGACGGUGUAAUGCAAAUUGCAUCCAAUCUUGAAAGCCGGUCCCAGUUCGGACUGGGGUCUGCAACCCGACCCCACGAAGCUGGAUUCGCUAGUAAUCGCGCAUCAGCCAUGGCGCGGUGAAUACGUUCCCGGGUCUUGUACACACC